UACGAAGGGGGCUAGCGUUGUUCGGAAUUACUGGGCGUCAAGCGCGCGCAGGCGGUUUUCCAAGUCAGUGGUGAAAGCCCAGAGCUCACCUCUGGCAUUGCCAUUGAAACUGGUGAACUUGAGUACGAGAGAGGUGAGUGGAAUUCCCAGUGUAGAGGUGAAAUGCGUAGAUAUUGGGAAGAACACAGGUGGCGAAGGCGGCUCACUGGCUCGUUACUGACGCUCAGGCGCGACAGCGUGGGGAUCAAACAGG
rnacentral:rRNA from 1 species